GAGAGUGAGGUAUUGUGGAGACAGCUGGAAGGGAGGCACGGCUGACCCCAGUUAAGGUCUAUUUAUGAAGUUGUAAGAUUCUGGAGAGCAUACAGGGAGAUCUACUCAUCUUACUGCCAAGAGAAGCCCGGGUUACAUGGGAUGGCUGAUAUAACCUACUCUAUCCUACGUGGCAGCAGAAGGCAUCUCCUGGGAUACUAAAGUUUGGAGUCCCUUUUGACUUAAGUUAGGAGGGAGAGUCUAUUUCCAGCUAUGGAAUCAAGGUCAGAAGCAGAAGUUCCAGUCCUUGCUAGGACAUUGGCCUUCAGGUAUGAUGCUCAUUUUGUCAUCCUGAGAGGCUCACAGAGACCUAAAGCAUGGAACACAUCUCAACAUGUACUGAAUAAGUUGGAAAAGAGGAGGACCAAACUGGAAGUGUUGGAGUGGUUUGCAGUUAUUACCUAUAUGCAGGAUCAGCUGUCACUGAUUUCAAGGAACAAGUCAUGAACGCAAUGAUGUCAGCUACUUCUGCGCCCUCCAUACAGCACAAGGGAAGUUACUGUUCCGCCCAAACCCUUAGGAACCCCCUCUUUAGGAGCUAGUUAAAAAGACCCUAAAUCAUAAUAAAAAUCAUUCUUUCUUCUAACCAUAGGAAAA